rnacentral:misc_RNA from 1 species
AAGUCGUAACAAGGUUUCCGUAGGCGAACCUGCGGAAGGAUCAUUAAAGAUUAUUAAAUCAAACACUGUGCACAACAAUAUAACAACAAUAAUUAAAUAGUUUAAUAAUAUUAAUUAUGACAACUUUUAGCAACGGAUCUCUAGGUUCUC